rnacentral:rRNA from 1 species
CGAGUUUGAUCCUGGCUCAGGAUGAACGCUAGCGGCAGGCUUAACACAUGCAAGUCGAGGGGUAUUGGUUUUCGGACCAAGAGACCGGCGCACGGGUGCGUAACGCGUAUGCAAUCUACCUUUUGCAGAGGGAUAGCCCAGAGAAAUUUGGAUUAAUACCUCAUAGUAUGGUACCUUGGCAUCAAGGAGCUAUUAAAGUCACAACGGCAAAAGAUGAGCAUGCGUCCCAUUAGCUAGUUGGUAAGGUAACGGCUUACCAAGGCGACGAUGGGUAGGGGUCCUGAGAGGGAGAUCCCCCACACUGGUACUGAGACACGGACCAGACUCCUACGGGAGGCAGCAGUGAGGAAUAUUGGACAAUGGGCGCAAGCCUGAUCCAGCCAUGCCGCGUGCAGGAUGACGGUCCUAUGGAUUGUAAACUGCUUUUAUACAGGAAGAAACACUGGUUCGUGAACCAGCUUGACGGUACUGUAAGAAUAAGGAUCGGCUAACUCCGUG